rnacentral:rRNA from 1 species
GACGAACGCUGGCGGCGUGCCUAAUACAUGCAAGUAGAACGCACAGUUUAUACCGUAGCUUGCUACACCAUAGACUGUGAGUUGCGAACGGGUGAGUAACGCGUAGGUAACCUGCCUGGUAGCGGGGGAUAACUAUUGGAAACGAUAGCUAAUACCGCAUAAUAUUGAUUAUUGCAUGAUAAUUGAUUGAAAGAUGCUAUUGCAUCACUACCAGAUGGACCUGCGUUGUAUUAGCUAGUAGGGGAGGUAACGGCUCACCUAGGCGACGAUACAUAGCCGACCUGAGAGGGUGGUCGGCCACACUGGGACUGAGACACGGCCCAGACUCCUACGGGAGGCAGCAGUAGGGGAUCUUCGGCAAUGGACGAAAGUCUGACCGAGCGACGCCGCGUGAGUGCAGAAGGUUUUCGGAUCGUGAAGCUCUGUUGUAAGAGAAGAACGGGUGUGAGAGUGGAAAGUUCACACUGUGACGGUAUCUUACCAGAAAGGGACGGCUAACUACGUG